AACGAACGCUGGCGGCGUGCCUAAGACAUGCAAGUCGUACGGAAAGGCCCCCUUCGGGGGGCACUCGAGUGGCGCACGAGUGAGUAACGCGUGGGUAAUCUGCCUUAGGGUCUAGGACAACCCCGGGAAACUGGGGCUAAUACUGGAUAAGACCACGAGCUCUUCGGAGCUUGCGGAAAAAGAUGGCCUCUCCUUGGAAGCUAUCGCCCUUCGAUGAGCCCGCGUCCCAUUAGCUAGUUGGUGAGGUGACGGCUCACCAAGGCUUUGAUGGGUAGCUGGUCUGAGAGGAUGAUCAGCCACACUGGAACUGAGACACGGUCCAGACUCCUACGGGAGGCAGCAGUCGGGAAUUUUGGGCAAUGGGCGAAAGCCUGACCCAGCAACGCCGCGUGAGGGAUGAAGGCCCUCGGGUCGUAAACCUCUGUCGGGAGGGAAGAACGGUUGCCGUUCGAACGGGACGGGAGCCUGACGGUACCUCCAAAGGAAGCACCGGCUAACUCCGUGCCAGCAGCCGCGGUAAUAC
rnacentral:rRNA from 1 species